UACGAGGGGUGCAAGCGUUAAUCGGAAUUACUGGGCGUAAAGCGUACGCAGGCGGUUUGUUAAGCAAGAUGUGAAAGCCCCGGGCUCAACCUGGGAAAGUCAUUUUGAACUGGCAAACUUGAGUCUUGUAGAGGGAGGUAGAAUUUCAGGUGUAGCGGUGAAAUGCGUAGAGAUCUGAAGGAAUACCGGUGGCGAAGGCGGCCUCCUGGACAAAGACUGACGCUGAGGUACGAAAGCGUGGGGAGCAAACAGG
rnacentral:rRNA from 1 species